GGCUCUUCGAUCUUAUAUAAUGAAGAGUCGGACCUGCCCAGUGAAAUAUUUUAACGGCCGCGGUACUCUGACCGUGCAAAGGUAGCAUAAUCAUUUGCCCUAUAAUUGGGGGCUGGUAUGAAUGGUUUGACAAGAGCAAUUCUGUCUCUAUAUAAUUUUAUAAAAUUUAAUUUUCAGCUGAAGAAGCCUGGAUUUAAUUAAAAGACAAGAAGACCCUAUCGAGCUUUAAAACAAUUAAAAGAUAACUAAAUAUAUUUAUAAAUUUAUAACUUUUAAAAAUUUUGGUUGGGGCGACCUAGGAACAAAUAAAGCUUCUUUACAUAAAAAAGUAUACAUAUUUUGACCCAAAAAUUUUGAUUAAAGAAAUUAGUUACCGUAGGGAUAACAGCAUAAUCUUUUUUAAGAGCUCUUAUCGAAAAAAAGGCUUGUGACCUCGAUGUUGGACCAAAAUAUCCUAAAGAUGCAGCCGUCUUUAAGGGUUGGUCUGUUCGACCAUUAAAAUUUUACGUGAUCUGAGUUCAGACCG
rnacentral:rRNA from 1 species